GAUGAACGCUGGCGGCGUGCCUAAUACAUGCAAGUCGAGCGAACGGACGAGAAGCUUGCUCCUCUGACGUUAGCGGCGGACGGGUGAGUAACACGUGGAUAACCUACCUAUAAGACUGGGAUAACUUCGGGAAACCGUAGCUAAUACCGGAUAAUAUUUUGAACCGCAUGGUUCAAAAGUGAAAGACGGUCUUGCUGUCACUUAUAGAUGGAUCCGCGCUGCAUUAGCUAGUUGGUAAGGUAACGGCUUACCAAGGCAACGAUGCAUAGCCGACCUGAGAGGGUGAUCGGCCACACUGGAACUGAGACACGGUCCAGACUCCUACGGGAGGCAGCAGUAGGGAAUCUUCCGCAAUGGGCGAAAGCCUGACGGAGCAACGCCGCGUGAGUGAUGAAGGUCUUCGGAUCGUAAAACUCUGUUAUUAGGGAAGAACAAAUGUGUAAGUAACUAUGCACAUCUUGACGGUACCUAAUCAGAAAGCCACGGCUAACUACGUG
rnacentral:rRNA from 1 species